CAAGGUUUCCCCAACAUGGAGGGGUUACGGCGAAGCGUUGAUUUCGUGACAAAAAAAAGAGAACUACUUUAAUUUCAUACUAUACAAGCCCUACAAGAAACUUCUGCGUCGAGCUCUGAUGAAGUGACUGUGGUCUGCUUGAUGCCACCUCUCACUCCUUCGACACGUGGCAGGAUGUCGUCUGCUUCAGCCAAUCGCUAUUCAUCUCCGUAGCUACGGCCACCUUGCCUGCCUUGACCUCACAGCCGUGCGAGUUUCGGUCCCGCGUCUCAUGUCUUCAGGGACAUCUUCGGAAGGCUUAACGCUCACACAAGCGACCGAGAAACGAUGUGCAUCAAACAACAUAUUCCCUUAUGCCCCUGUCGUACAAAAUUACGAACGUAACAUGCUCCAUCUGAGGAAGAACGGAACGACGAAGCACGGGGAAGGCGGAGACGGGAAGACCGCGUUCCCAGCUAAACGCAGGAAUGUAUGCGGUCUCCUUGUGUUCUACCACGAGCCCAUCUUUCGGCUCCUAUGGACGCAGGAAGCUUUAUGUCACUGCACUCGCCCGGCAACUAGACAUCGUCGUCACCCCUUGGUCCGCUCAUUCACAGGACAAAUUCUUCGAGUAUAUCAUGCCAUACUGAGCUGAAAUUCAGAAACACAAAUCAGAUA